UCGGCGCUGCAUUGAGCUGAAAGAUGCUAGUUCUUUCAUGAUUAUGUGAUAGGUGGUGCAUGGCCCGUUCUUAGUUCGUGGAGUGAUCUGUCUGCUUAAUUGCGUAUCAAUAAUAGAGACCUAGUAUACGCGUGGAUUUCGCGUGGUAGUGACCCCCUGUUCGCGCAGGCGUGUGUCGCACACGCGUGCCGCGCACUGGUCUCAGAUAGCAACGAACGUGACCGUAUUCUAUUGUUGCAGUGAAAUGUACUUUCGAGUACGACCCACUGCUUAGUAUAUGCACGUGCUUCGGUGCGAGCAAUAUACAUUAAACUAUAGAGACCGCUGUUUCUUCUUUAAACCAGAGGAAGGAUACGGCAAUAACAGGUCUGUGAUGCCCUCAGAUGUUCCGGGCUGCACACGUGCUACAAUGAUCAUUGCACUGUGCAUCUAACCCAAUGUGCGUGGACGCCGCAUGUAUGUACUCCUUGUGGGUACACGCAUUGCUGAGCGACCACGCCGAACCUACUUCGAAAGUAAAAUUUCUCUGUGGGUAAUCCAUUAGAAGUAAUGACUCGCAUAGACCAUGGCACACCAAAUGUACGCGCAGGUCUACCCGGCUCGCCUUUGUGUGAGUGCAGUGCGUAGCUUGUUGUUUCGUACGUGCCACUCCGUAUUAAUUCGUACGUGGGGAUAGAUCAUUGUUUAAUUGUUGGUCUCGGUCUUAACUAGGAAUGCCUUGUACGGGUCUCUGGUUCAACAUACCACCCGGAAUACGUCCCUGCCCUUUGUACACACCGCCCGUCGCUCUUACCGAUGGAUUAUGCUAUGAAUCUAUAGGACUGCCAAAGUUGCCUCGGCUGCUUAGUGGAAAUAUAUAUGAAUAGCG
rnacentral:rRNA from 2 species